rnacentral:rRNA from 1 species
AGAGUUUGAUCCUGGCUCAGAUUGAACGCUGGCGGCAUGCCUAACACAUGCAAGUCGAACGGUAACAGGUCUUCGGAUGCUGACGAGUGGCGGACGGGUGAGUAAUGCGUAGGAAUCUGUCUUUUAGUGGGGGACAACCCAGGGAAACUUGGGCUAAUACCGCAUGAGCCCUGAGGGGGAAAGCGGGGGAUCUUCGGACCUCGCGCUAAGAGAGGAGCCUACGUCUGAUUAGCUAGUUGGUGAGGUAAAGGCUUACCAAGGCGACGAUCGGUAGCUGGUCUGAAAGGAUGAUCAGCCACACUGGGACUGAGACACGGCCCAGACUCCUACGGGAGGCGAC